rnacentral:ncRNA from 1 species
UAUAAUUAAAGCGCCCGAACCGAAUUCCUAAAUAUAUAUUAAAAGGUUGACGAGGAAAAGGGUUUAUCGAGUUUUCGGCGGAUGCCCUUUGGGAUAAAAGUGUUCCUUAAAGCUUAAAAAAACCUUGGAGUAAUCCUUGGGACAAAAUUAAGCUUAAAC